UUGAACGCUGGCGGCAUGCCUUACACCUGCCAGUCGCACGGUAACGGGCCUUCGGGUGCCGCCGAGUGGCGAACGGGUGAGUAAUACAUCGGAACGUGCCCGAUCGUGGGGGAUAACGAGGCGAAAGCUUUGCUAAUACCGCAUACGAUCUACGGAUGAAAGCAGGGGACCGCAAGGCCUUGCGCGGACGGAGCGGCCGAUGGCAGAUUAGGUAGUUGGUGGGGUAAAAGCUUACCAAGCCGACGAUCUGUAGCUGGUCUGAGAGGAUGAUCAGCCACACUGGGACUGAGACACGGCCCAGACUCCUACGGGAGGCAGCAGUGGGGAAUUUUGGACAAUGGGCGCAAGCCUGAUCCAGCCAUGCCGCGUGCAGGAUGAAGGCCUUCGGGUUGUAAACUGCUUUUGUAUGGAACGAAAAGCCUUCUUUUAAUACAGGAGGGUCAUGACGGUACCGUAAGAAUAAGCACCGGCUAACUACGUG
rnacentral:rRNA from 1 species